CAGCCCCAAGGGUGGCCCUGUGCCUCAUGCUGAGCUGCUGAGGAGGGCAGACAAGACAGGAUCAUCCUUGGGAAACAUCCUGGUGUGCACCAGCAGAGCCCCCAGGAUCCCCAACAGCACAAUGAAGCAGGGGCUGAGGAUGCUCGGGAGGAGCUCCAGAGUCCCUGCAAGAGAGAGGACAUGUCCAGCACUGCGUGGGACAGGAGGGGAGAG